rnacentral:rRNA from 1 species
AUUGAACGCUGGCGGCAGGCUUAACACAUGCAAGUCGAACGAGUGGCGGACGGGUGAGUAAUGCUUGGGAAUCUGCCCGAUAGAGGGGGAUAACUACUGGAAACGGUGGCUAAUACCGCAUACUAUCGGAUGUACCCAUAUGGGAUUAGCUAGUAGGUGGGGUAACGGCUCACCUAGGCGACGAUCUCUAGCUGGUCUGAGAGGAUGACCAGCCACACUGGGACUGAGACACGGGCCAGACUCCUACGGGAGGCAGCAGUGGGGAAUAUUGCACAAUGGGCGCAAGCCUGAUGCAGCCAUGCCGCGUGUAUGAAGAAGGCCUUAGGGUUGGAAAGUACUUUCAGCGGGGAGGCGUUACCCGCAGAAGAAGCACCGGCUAACUCCGUGCCAGCAGCCGCGGUAAUUC